UUGACCUCGGAUCAGGUAGGGAUACCCGCUGAACUUAAGCAUAUCAAUAAGCGGAGGAAAAGAAACCAACAGGGAUUGCCUCAGUAACGGCGAGUGAAGCGGCAACAGCUCAAAUUUGAAAUCUGACCCUUCUGGGGUCCGAGUUGUAAUUUGUAGAGGAUGCUUCGGGCAAGGCUGUGGUCUAAUUCGCUUGGAACAGCGGGUCAAAGAGGGUGAGAAUCCCGUCUAGGAUCGUAUGCCGCGUCCAUGUGAAGCUCCUUCGACGAGUCGAGUUGUUUGGGAAUGCAGCUCUAAAUGGGUGGUAAAUUUCAUCUAAAGCUAAAUAUUGGCCAGAGACCGAUAGCGCACAAGUAGAGUGAUCGAAAGAUGAAAAGCACUUUGAAAAGAGAGUUAAACAGUAUGUGAAAUUGUUGAAAGGGAAGCGCUUGCAAUCAGACUUGUGGCUGACGGUUCCCCUGGCCCUCGUGGCCGGGCUACUCCGUCGUGUCCAGGCCAACAUCGGUCUGGGUGGCCGGUUAAAGACCCCGGGAAUGUAUCUACCUUCGGGUCGACUUAUAGCCCGGGGUGGAAUGCGGCCCACCCGGACCGAGGAACGCGCUUCGGCUCGGAUGUUGGCGUAAUGGUUGCAAGCGGCCCGUCUUGAAACACGGACCAAGGAGUCUAACAUCUAUGCGAGUGUUUGGGUGUCAAACCCCUACGCGGAAUGAAAGUGAACGGAGGUAAGAACCCCGCAAGGGGCGCAUUAUCGACCGAUCCUGAUGUCUUCGGAUGGAUUUGAGUAAGAGCAUAGCUGUUGGGACCCGAAAGAUGGUGAACUAUGCCUGAAUAGGGUGAAGCCAGAGGAAACUCUGGUGGAGGCUCGCAGCGGUUCUGACGUGCAAAUCGAUCGUCAAAUUUGGGCAUAGGGGCGAAAGGACUAAUCGAACCAUCUGGUAGCUGGUUCCUGUCGAAGUUUCCCUCAGGAUAGCAGUAACGUUUUCAGUUUUAUGAGGUAAAGCGAAUGAUUAGAGGCCUUGGGGUUGCAACAACCUUAACCUAUUCUCAAACUUUAAAUAUGUAAGAAGUCCUUGUUGCUUAAUUGAACGUGGACAUUUGAAUGUAUCGUUACUAGUGGGCCAUUUUUGGUAAGCAGAACUGGCGAUGCGGGAUGAACCGAACGUGAGGUUAAGGUGCCGGAAUGUACGCUCAUCAGACACCACAAAAGGUGUCAAUGCAUCCAGACAGCCGGACGGUGGCCAUGGAAGUCGGAAUCCGCUUAGGAGUGUGUAGAAAGACCCGAGGGUUGUUGUUGCACACAGACAGUCCUCUGAGGACUAGUUGACCAUAAGCAUGGUUGAACGAUGGCUCUAUUUGACCGGGAAUCUUAACCAGAUGAUCGGUCGUAAACCCUUGUGGUUUAUCUACAGACUAGAAAGAGCCGACCGCGAUCUGACCGUCGCGGCCAAGACAUAGUCGAUCAGGGCCUCUCUAGAGAGGCUCUUCAACGAGAACAACUCACCGGCCGAAUGCAUUGGCCCUGAAAAUGGAUGGCGCUUAAGCGUGCUACCUAUACCUCGCCGUUGGGGUUGAAAUGAUGCCCCAACGAGUAGGCAGGCGUGGGGGUUUGUGACGA
rnacentral:rRNA from 1 species